CCUCCUUUCUUUCCCACAUCCAUCCAUCGAUCCACUUCCAUCUCCUCGCUGUCUCGCCCGAUGGAGAGAGAGAGAGCUCGCCUCGUCCCUUCCAGAUCACCGCCACCACCUCCCUCCAGUAGAGCUCGUCGCCGUACAUGGCCUCCCCCAUGCCCCACCCCUCUCGCCCCUCCCCUUCCCCCACCCAACCAAACCAACCAGCCCACCCGGCACCCUAACUCCUCCAAGAAAGCAAAGCCAUGCCCUCUGACGGGGGAUGAGAUCUGCGCCUGCGGGGAAUUUAUUGGCUCUCUCCACCGGCGAGGCUUGGGGAGGCCGGCGUUCCCUGUCGAGACCCGUCGCGCACGUCCUCCAGCGCCACCCGCAGCACGUCGAGUACACCACCACCCUGGAGCACCUCGGCCUGGCCGACCUCUCGUCCCCGCACCCCCGGGCGCGUGCCGCCGCCAUGGGCAUCAUGCCCCUCCAAGUCCAAGCAGCGGGCGGCGCCGAGGAAACGAUGCAAUGGCUCUCCCCAACACCCCUCCCAUGGACUACCCCAGUUUCAAGCUCGUCCUCGUCCGCGACGGCGACACCGGCAAGACGAUGUUCGUGUAGAGGCAUAUCACCGGGGAGUUCGAGAAGAAGUACGAACCGACGAUCGCUGUGGAGGUGCGGUCGCUGGACUUCCAGACGAGCCACGGCAAGAUCAGGUUCUACUGCUGGGACACAGCCGGACAGGAGAAGUUCGGUGGCCUCCGUGAUGGAUACUAGUGAUCAUUGGUGCUGUUGCUGCCGCUGUGCAAGUCGGAGGUGUCGCUGCUACAUUUGGUGGAGCUAGUGCUGCCGCUCCAAAGGGCAACCUUCAUCAGACACUACCUCAUAAUAGUGCCUCAAAACUUUACCCCUUGCUAGAUCCUUCGGUGGAGGUGACCCAUGUGAUGGUGAUUCGCUCCAGCAGUUCCGGUUCCGGCAAUGGUGGUGCUACACUGCUACUGCUCCUAUGAUGGCUACGCAUUGGUAGGCUAUGCUGCCUCCCUUGGCUGUCGCUAGAUCAGCCUAGUCUACAACCACUUCCGAUGACUCAGGUCCCCUUCUACCUCUCCUACUCUCUCCAUGAUUCUUUUCUUUGCCUUUAUGAGGUGUAAUUGUUUAAUUUUUGUCAUAGUUGAGCAUUGGAUGAUAUAUUGUAUCUGUCAUGAGGUACAUGGUUCAUGGAUAUGCCAACCUGCAGCUUGUUGUCCAUACA